AUGAUCUCCUACUCCUAUGAUCCUACCUUCUGUUUCCCUUCCAGAUGGGAACCAUGUCUAAUCAACCAUAGGAAGUGGCCAAAGGAGGAAGCAGGAGUUUGUGGGUCCAGUGUGGAGGAGACAAAGACUGGACUGCUGUUCCACACCUUCAGAACACUUUGGCUUCUGAUAUUCUGGAGAAACCAGUGUUAUCUGAGUGUUAAAGCUCAGUUAUUAAUCCUUUCUCAGAGUUCCGGGAUAAUGUUAUUAGCUUUCAAGCAUGUGAUGCAUCCCAAGAGAGCUGUUGACUUCCAGUCUGACCAAAUUCUUUCACGUUGUGGCGUGUACGAUGUAUAAACGUUUUGGAAUGCCUCUGAGACGACUUCUGCCGGUGAGUCUUUCCUCUGAGUGUCUUUGGGGCUAGAACAGUCAUGUCCAUUUCAUUGUUGAUUAGGUGUUCGUAUAAAAAAGAAUUUUUAAAUGCUUUACUUAACAGCUCUGAUUAACACUGAGUAUUUAGAUCCUGAUGUGUCAGUUAUAGACAUUUAAUCUCUCAUCAUUAAAUAUUUCUGCCUCUUUCACUGAAUAGAGGAGGAUGUAUGUGAGCAACAUAUGGGUGGAGUUGAUCUGAACAAGAAUUUAGGGAGGAGAAAAUUAUACGAUCUCUAAUUUUUUUAGGGAGAGGCUGAA
rnacentral:lncRNA from 1 species